rnacentral:rRNA from 1 species
GAUGAACGCUAGCGGCAGGCCUAAUACAUGCAAGCCGAACGGCAAGUUUGAUAGCAAUAUUGGACCUAGAGUGGCGCAAGGGUGCGUAACACGUAUGCAACCUGCCCGCGACAGGAGGAUAGCUCCCCGAAAGGGGAAUUAACCCUCCAUAACACCAUGAGAAGGCAUCUGAUUAUGGUUAAACCGCAAGGGGUCGCGGAUGGGCAUGCGGUUGAUUAGCUAGUUGGCGGGGUAAAGGCCCACCAAGGCGGUGAUCAAUAGGGGUUCUGAGAGGAAGGUUCCCCACACUGGCACUGGGAUACGGGCCAGACGCCUACGGGAGGCAGCAGUAGGGAAUAUUAGACAAUGGUUGCAAGACUGAUCCAGCCAUGCCGCGUGCAGGAAGAAGGCCUUCUGGGUCGUAAACUGCUUUUUCCUGUGGAUAAAAUACCCGUGCGCGGGGAAUUGAAGGUAACAGGAGAAUAAGCCACGGCUAACUACGUG